GAUGAAGAACGUAGCGAAAUGCGAUAAGUAAUGUGAAUUGCAGAAUUCAGUGAAUCAUCGAAUCUUUGAACGCACCUUGCACUCCUUGGUAUUCCGAGGAGUACGCCUGUUCGAGUGUUAUGAAGCUCUCAAAACGCAAUUGGCUUAAAACCUGAUUGUUGUUUUGGAUUUGAACUUUGCCGUGUUAUAACGGCUGGUUUUAAAAGUAUUAGCUGGUACUAGAACGAAUUGGUUCUACUCAACGUGAUAAUUAUCUGAUCGUUGAGGACAUUCCUUUCACGAGGAAUGGCCAUAGUAAAUUCAAUGGACUGCUUCUAAUCUGGCUUUAAUUCUUUAUUGGAUUAACCACUUUUCAAAUCUGACCUCGAAUCAGGUGGGACUACCCGCUGAACUUAAGCAUAUCAAUAAGCGGGGA
rnacentral:misc_RNA from 1 species